rnacentral:pre_miRNA from 1 species
AUUGUACUCCCUCCAUCCUAAAAUUCCUGUCUUAGAUUUGUCUAAAUACGGAUGUAUCAAGUCACGUUUUAGUAUUAGAUUCAUCCGUAUCUAAACAAAUCUAAGACAAGAAUUUUGGGACGGAGGGAGUAUUUG